rnacentral:rRNA from 1 species
CAGUCGCCGCGGUAAGACAGAGGAUGCAAGCGUUAUCCGGAAUGAUUGGGCGUAAAGCGUCUGUAGGUGGCUUUUCAAGUCCGCCGUCAAAUCCCAGGGCUCAACCCUGGACAGGCGGUGGAAACUACCAAGCUAGAGUACGGUAGGGGCAGAGGGAAUUUCCGGUGGAGCGGUGAAAUGCGUUGAGAUCGGAAAGAACACCAACGGCGAAAGCAGUCUGCUGGGCCGACACUGACACUGAGAGACGAAAGCUAGGGGAGCAAAUGGGAUUAGAUACCCGCGUAGUCCCUGUCUCUUAUAC